GACGAACGCUGGCGGCGUGCUUAACACAUGCAAGUCGAACGGAAAGACCCUGCUUUUGUGGGGUGCUCGAGUGGCGAACGGGUGAGUAACACGUGAGUAACCUGCCCUUGACUUUGGGAUAACUUCAGGAAACUGGGGCUAAUACCGGAUAGGAGCUCCUGCUGCAUGGUGGGGGUUGGAAAGUUUCGGCGGUUGGGGAUGGACUCGCGGCUUAUCAGCUUGUUGGUGGGGUAGUGGCUUACCAAGGCUUUGACGGGUAGCCGGCCUGAGAGGGUGACCGGCCACAUUGGGACUGAGAUACGGCCCAGACUCCUACGGGAGGCAGCAGUGGGGAAUAUUGCACAAUGGGCGGAAGCCUGAUGCAGCAACGCCGCGUGCGGGAUGACGGCCUUCGGGUUGUAACCCGCUUUCGCCUGUGACGAAGCGUGAGUGACGGUAAUGGGUAAAGAAGCACCGGCUAACUACGUG
rnacentral:rRNA from 1 species